AAAAUAGUUCCAUGCCCAUUACAGAGUGAAAGCAAAGACUGAAAACAUGAGCAGUUGACACCAAAGGCAGGUAAUCCCUGAACUCCAGUGGGAAGUUUGCUUAGCUACAGGGUGCGGUGUCCUGCCCAGCAUCAGCAGCACGGAGGCAGGAAGACAGGAGACUGGCUAGCCACAAAGGCCAGGACUUCUCAUCUCAAGUCUGACUCCCAGAAGCCACAGAAAAUGAAACUCCCCCCAAACCCCGGUCUUUGCCUCCAGAGUUGGGCCGCAGUGACCAGUGGUCAGCAGAAUUUCCAGCUCAUUGUCCACCUGCUGAGGAAAUGGAGGGAUCUCCGGGUGGUAGACUUAAUGUCACUGAAACACGCCUCAAGGAUCCCAGCUAAUUGGAGACCAGAUCCUUUUAGGAAGAUACGAAUGGAACUCUGAAAUUUAAACCAGUAUUACAAUGAUAUAGGGGAAAGAGAUAUAAACCUGCUAGAUAUCCAAAGCGCAAGUUUGUGUUCUCUAAAAUCAAAGAAUGAAUUCUAGGAACAACGGCAGGUAAGAGUAGGAAAAAUUUAUUGAGAGAAAGAUAGCUUCUGCCUAAGAGAGACAGAAGGGGGACCGGGAAGUGGGUUGCCCAGGGACCCCGUUUCCUAGGGGGUUUAUGGAGCAAAGCCACGAGCUGAGGCGGGUUCAAGGUGGGACAAAAUUAUAGUCAACUAGGCAGAUUACAAAUACAAUCGUUUAGGGAAUAUUGAUCCAGUGGGGAAUCACAGGCGGGUAUGAGGUGGGGCAAAACUAUGAUCAACCAAUAAGAUUACAAGAAUAGUUGCUUAGGUAAUAUUGAUUAAAUGGGGAGCCAGUGGGGAAGCAAGUCACAUGGUAAGCGUACAAGGACGGAGCAAGGAUUCUCAGUAAGGGAUGGGUUAAGGUCUUGGUCCUACACCCAGGGAAUUGAUACCUAUGUAGAAUAUCAAUCACUGCUAUCCAGCCCUAGACAAAGUACAGGAAUGUAGUAGUUUGUUUUUAUAAUGCUAACCUCCAGUGAAAGUGUCUCCAUUGUCCUUUUUUUUUUUGAGAUAGGGUUUCACUAUGUAGUUCAGGCUGGCCUUGAACUCACAGCGAUCCUCCUGCCUAAGCCUCCAAAGUGCUGGGAUUACAGGUGUGUGCCACCAUGCCUGGCUCCAUUGUCCUUCAUAUUGACUCCUGGAGGGCCAACCCUGUCUAACUGCCUACAAGAUAUCUAAUUAACUUACCUAUCUACAAUAUUAAUACAUUCAGAAAACCAAAUAUACAAAUCUAGCUACAGUUAUAAGGUUCAUGAGGCAAGUAAUUUUUUCCUUUUCU
rnacentral:lncRNA from 1 species